UAGCGGCGAGUGAAGCGGCAAGAGCUCAGAUUUGAAAUCGUGCUAAUUUUUUUGGCACGAGUUGUAGAGUGUAGGCGGGAGUCUUUGUGGAGCACGGUGUCCAAGUCCCUUGGAACAGGGCGCCUGAGAGGGUGAGAGCCCCGUGGGGUGCCGUGCGAAGCUCUGAGGCCCUGCUGACGAGUCGAGUUGUUUGGGAAUGCAGCUCCAAGUGGGUGGUAAAUUCCAUCUAAGGCUAAAUACUGGCGAGAGACCGAUAGCGAACAAGUACUGUGAAGGAAAGAUGAAAAGCACUUUGAAAAGAGAGUGAAACAGCACGUGAAAUUGUUGAAAGGGAAGGGUAUUGGGCCCGACAUGGGGAGUGCGCACCGCUGUCUCUUGUAGGCGGCGCUCUGGGCGCUCUCUGGGCCAGCAUCGGUUCUUGCUGCGGGAGAAUGGGUGCCGGAAAGUGGCUCUUCGGAGUGUUAUAGCCGGCGCCAGAUACCGCGUGCGGGGACCGAGGACUGCGGCUUCUGUCUCGGAUGCUGGCACAUACGGCG
rnacentral:rRNA from 1 species